CCGGUGCUCGCGGCUGCCUGCGGGCCCGCGGGGGCCGCGGGGCUGCGCUCCCCCGGGCUCGUCUCGCGGCUGCCCCACGCCCGCCGGGCCGCGGGCCGGAGCGCGGAGAGGAGGCCCGCGGCGCUGCAGGACGCUGUGAGUGAGAGCGGCCGGCACCGGAGGACCCCGCGAAGCGACCUCACGCCCCGGGAGGGUUUGCUUCCCCGGUGCGGAGGAGAAGCGACCGACCCACGGCACUGCGUUCGUUUUCAGCGUGCAGCGUGAUGAUCUGAUAUUCGUGCCUGUUGUGCCUGUGUGGGACGAUCGACACAGGAGGGAGGGUAUGCAUCUUCCUGUUUUGCAGAUGAGGGUGCUCAGAAGCUCGGAAGCUCGGAAGCUCGUGAGCAGCAAGGCCCAGGCUGAAAUCUGGGGCUAUUCAUUGCAAAUUUCACACUCCUACCAGGCUGGCUGGACUGCUGCCCCUGGAACAUCCCUAGAACCGAGUCACACAGAGAGAGAGAGAGGCAGAGACACAGGCAGAGGGAGAAGCAGGCUCCAUGCACCGGAAGCCCGACGUGGGAUUCGAUCCCGGGUCUCCAGCAUCGUGCCCUGGGCCAAAGGCAGGCGCCAAACCACUGCGCCACCCAGGGAUCCCUACUUCCGUCUUUAAAUGAAGAAGAGAAGGCUUCAUCAGUCAACAGCCAGUGAGAGAAUGAAAGAUCCACACAGAGAGAGAGAGAGGCAGAGGGAGAAGCAGGCUCCAGGCACCGGGAGCCCGACGUGGGAUUCGAUCCCGGGUCUCCAGGAUCGCGCCCUGGGCCAAAGGCAGGCGCCAAACCGCUGCGCCACCCAGGGAUCCCGAUAAAAGACUUUCUUAAGAAGAUGCCAAAAUCCUUCUCACCAACACCGACACUGAGACCAUCGCCUGGUGAGUGCCAGUGCACCAGGUAAACCCCUGCUUCUCCGUUUCAGGGACUGUGGACUCACACAGACUCAAGUUUGAUUCUCGGCUUUGCCCUUGUGAGCUGUCAGCUCCUGUCAACUUGGUCUCUGUAAACCCGUUACCUAAGAUAUAAAGGGUGCUGCUUGACAUGUCUUGUAGGAUACAGAAACAAAUACGGCCAGAAUGCUGUGCUAUACAGAAGGAUUCAUUAUAUAGCUGUUUCUUCACCUUGCCUCCUCUCUCCUCUUCUCCUAUUCUGAGUAGAUAUUAAUGUUUUUGACUCCAGUCAAUCCUAUUUCAAGUGGGGCUCGGCAGACAGCUGCAGACUGACCUUGCCUCCAAGAGCAUUUUUUCAACUAAAGUUUCUGGAAAGAAUACCAGCUGUCGCUCCAUUCUGUUUUUGUUGGCCAAAAUUUUUAAGUUUCAAGAUAUUUUACCUUUCCCAGGCACACAGUGAGAGAGAGAGAGAGAGACACAGGCAGAGGGAGAAGCAGGCUCCAUGCACCGGGAGCCCGACGUGGGAUUCGAUCCCGGGUCUCCAGGAUCGCGCCCUGGGCCAAAGGCAGGCGCCAAACCGCUGCGCCACCCAGGGAUCCCCCCUAUCCAUCUCUUGAUAAAGUGUUUAGUACUUCAACAAGUAAUGAUUCAAAUUAGAUGAAAAAUUGUCUCUUGGAUUACAUUUUAAAGAAGACUCCAGGGUGUGAAUCAUGGGGUAGUAAGUCCUGCUUAAAGCAUGAUCUAGGACAAGCGCCAAGCCUCCGGGAGGCCAUUAGGAACCAAUGCCCUGUGUGGCAGCGCUCGUAGCCUAGAGGCUUGUCUAUCUCGUGUGAAAUUCCGAGUACAUUUCCAAAGCCCUGAAAAUGAAAAAGAGCAUACAGCCACAUCCUGGAAGUGCUUCUCUAAAUCGGCCCCUUAACCAGAGUCCCAGUGCCCCUGUGCCUGUCGCUGGAGGCUGGGAGCGCGUCCUCUCCCGCCCACGGCCCCUGGCCCCUCGGGGCUGCUGCAGCCCGGGGCCUGACCUCCCUGCACCUGCUCGCUCGCCUGCUGCACACUGGUGCAGCUCAAGGCCGCGCCUGGUCCAGGUUGGAGGAAGCCGGUGCUUCAACAGCAGAGUGUUUGAAGGUGUGACGACCAGUUUCUUAGUAACGGAAGCUGGUCUGCUCAACUUAAUAUUUCAUUAAAACAUUUGCUCCCACGUACUUGUUUUGAGAGAGGACUCCUCCCCCCUCUGGAAUGCUUAAUCUGCGGCUGAUCCGCAGAGCUGAGGUGAGAGGUCGCUCUAGGGCACGGCGGACAAAGGGGGGGGGGGGCUUCCGCGCCACCUCCCGGACGCCGCCUGCAGUCAGCGGCCCAGCCAGGCCUCGGGAGUCCCGCGACAGAAGCGCCUCUGCUCGCUCUGGGCCACCGUCAAUCCUGGUGUGAAAGGGAAGCGAUGGGCGUGCAGUGCAAGGGGAGAGACGUAGUUGUUUCACUUAAAGCAAAGAAGCCCGGUUGGAAGUAAGUUCAGCUUUUCUCAAGAUUUCAAGAAUGUCGGGUAGAAUCUCUUAGAACAGACACUAUUGCAACAGUUCCUUGUAAGUUCCCAGUUUCUACUUUUGACCACUUUUUUUUCUUUUUUUGGCCUGUUUUUUGUUUUUACUGGAGGCUCAGGUGGCACAUGACAGUUCAUAAAUGGCUUCAGAGGUAGGGGCUGGGGCUGGGGGAGGGGAGACAAAAAAUAACUGGGGUGGGAAAGAAAACCAGGAGGAGGUAAGAGCUGGCUGGUUCCUUCUCAGCCUGAUUUAGGGGAAGGAGCUGGUGCCUCUGAACAAUAGGAUGGAUCCCUUCCUUCACCCCUUGGUAGGGGAGAGAGAAAAAGCAAAAGGCUGUUGCUUCGGCCCUCCUGAGUCUCAAGGAAAAGGGGAAAGCCGGUGUUCCGAUGUCAUGAAUUCUGGGAAGGGGGAGGGGGUGCUGGGUCGGGUAGAGGGCAGCCUCUAAAAAGUCAGGAUUCUCAGGGAUGUCCUUUUCCUAAGACACUAAGUUGAAUCUUUUGUUUAGACAAAGGGUUACUAGCCUCCUUUGCUGUUGGUGGAUAACACGAUGUAUUGUAGUUGCAAACCGUGAGUCUCUAGGACUCAGAAUUUCUAUGAAAGUACCUUAUCACUUCUGCAAAUUGGGAAAUCAGCCAAAGGGGUGUGCGUGAAUCCGAGUGCUGGCGACACUGUGGGAGGUGAGCUUGUCGCAGCGGGCUCUGCACCCCUGGGGGUGGAGUCUGAGCCCCUGGGGUGGAACCUCGAGCCCCUGGGGGUGGAGCCCAGAGCCUCUGAGGGUGGAGCUCGGAGCCCCUGAGGUGAAGUCCGAGUCCUUGCGGGUGCUCACCUUACCCUGCACCCAGGAGGACAGGGACUAGAGAAAGAAGACACAUUGCAAAUGGAAUUGACAGUCUGGCAGCUGACAGGGCAGCAGAUGAGGGCAAGUAAAAGUCAAAUGUGAGGCCAAGGCCUUGGUGCCCAGAGCACCUGCUACAGGGCUAGACCCCAGGAUCCUGGUUCCCUUUGGCCAGCAGGAUAUGACACAUCCCAGUACUGACAGGGCUGGGAUGAUUAGACCAGGCUUUUUCAGGCAAGUCAAACCCCCAUCCCAGGCUUCCGCACAUCCUUGAAAAGCACGCUAGAUCCUCUCCCAUCCAUUAAAGACCCUCCCUCCAAAUCCCUCCCUCUUUCCUUUAGAAACAAAGGUCCCAUUUCCUCCUCCUCCUCCUCUGGGCCUUCCACGCCAGCCACAUGGCAGACUGCACCACCGAGGCCGCCAGAGACCCCGCAUGGCUCAGGGGAGCGGACACUCUUGAAUGACUCCUCAGCGUCACUCGUCACUCGCUGGAGGUGGCCCCUCCCUGUUGGCUUUUCCCUCCCCCCACUCCCCCCUUCCGCGUCUGAGGCGGUGGUUUUCGGUCCCUCGGUCUGCUCCGUGUCUGACUGUUGGCAGUCCCUCCUCACAGCGUCGUUGGCUGCUCUUCUCAGUUGCACCCUCAGCCGUCAGUGCACUUACCUGCUCCCUCACUCCCUCAGCUUUAAAUGCCAUCAGAGUACUGUCAGGACCCAAAUGUAUGGCCCCAGACCUCUUAUUUGAGCCCCAGGCUCACACCCUGCUGCCUCCUCCACUCUCUGCUUGGAUAUUUUGGAGACGGUUCAAACUUAGCAUGCCCACGUUUUCCUCCUCUUCCCCCGCCCCCCUAGUUUGCUCCCCAUUUCUCAUGAUACAGGUGAAGCAGCUGUUCUUAACAUUUUCCUCUCCCUCUUACCCAGUUCAUUAACAAGUCCUACUGAUUCCACUUCCAAAAUCCGUGUUACCACCAUCCACCCUGUUCUGUUUCCACUGCCACCACAGUGACCAAGAAACCUUUCUUUUUUUUUUUUUUUCCUGGACUAUUGCAUUAGCAUCCUAACUCAGUCCCCACCUGGUCUUUCUUCCCAACUUCUUCCCCAUCCACUCUCAUCCACAAAGAAACCGGAGAAAUUACUUUAAAAAGCAAAACUAAUCAUGCCACAGCCCUUAAAACCUCAAGAGAUCCCCAUGGCAUCAGAAAUGAAAUACCAAAUCCUUCACUAGUAUCUCAGGGGCUGAAAGUCUUCUCUUCCUGUGUAUGCAGCCUCUCCCUUAGCCACGUUCCCUGGGUUCACCGAACUUGAGUUAACACUAGCACCCCCUUGGUUCCUCAACACACCUUAGGGGUUUUACACAUGCUGUUCCCUCUACCUGGGGCUCUCUUCCUCAUACUCUUUGCCUGGCCAGCUGUGGCUCAUCCUUCAAGUUUCCACUUAAAUGUCAGAGAACUCCUCUGCUAUCCCUAACUCCUCUGCUACUCCCCACACCCAAUACCCUUAAUCUCUCAGCACACCUUUUGCUUUUUUUUGAGAGCCUUUAUCACAUUUUGCAAUUCUAAUUUAUUUAUGUGACUUUUUUGUUUAACAUCUGUUCCCCCGAUUACUCUGUGUGCUUUAUUCAUGCUCUUGGACACUUCUAUAUCCUGGCACAUUAUAGGCACAAAAAUGCUUUCAAUGAGUACGAGAAUAAAUGCUUACUGGUGUGGUUUCUGCCUCACCCCAAGGUUCUAGAAAUAAAUUCAUGUAUCUGAAUGGGUGGCAAGGGGCUCUAGAGUCGGUUUUGUUCAAAUAGCUAAACAUAAUUGGACAAUAUGUGGCAGUUCACAAUUUCAGAGAUGCAUUGCCCUCAAAUUGCAGAUUCAUAUUUAUCUCCAAAUAGUUGGUCUUUUGUCCCAAUCGCUCUUCCUAAUCUGGACACCUGCGAAAUGAAAGUAGACUCACAGAGUUAUUAUGAUUACGUUGCACCAAGAUAACCUGUGAGACUCUUCUUCUUGUUUUGAGUUUUCUCUUUAGAGCUAAACUAUUUCUUAUAGUUCUCUAGCUUUCAGUAAAAAAAAAAAAAAAAAAAAAAGUUUCACUAGAAGCAUUAAAAAAAACCAAACCUCCCAACAACAAUAAAAACCUUACUUGGAUCAUUGUAACUGACUUAAGGGCUCUUGGCAACCAAUCUUGUCUGGAUAUGCUCAUCUCUUACUCCCUGGCGGUGUACGGAGUGCUUCUGUGUACAUGGAUUGAUGUACAGCCAGGAAUUUAUGAAGCUUUAAAUCAUUCAUCCAAAAUAACACCUUCAAUUUAAAAUUGGACCAAAAGUAAAGGGAAGAGAUGACCCUAAACGGGGAACUUAGCGAUAAAGAAGAAAGGCCAAUGUCAUUACCAGGGAGGACGUUCCCAUUCAUAGAAGUAAUAGGCCCAUUAGAGUGGAGAUUAUACUUCCCUGCAAAGUAUGGCUCUCUGAGAGAUACCCUCCCACUGCCUCCCAUGCCUUUCCCUGCUCCCUGCUCCACUUUUAAGACAAUUGAACAACAACAACAAAAAAAAGACAAUUGAACAACAACAACAAAAAAAGACAAUUGAACAAAAUAAGGACUCCAAGACCACAAAUCAGGAAACCUAAUUUUAUCUAUGUCCGCAGCAACUGUCUUCUCUCCAGCAAGUUUUUUUUAAAUUUUUAUUUAUUUAUGAUAGUCAUACAGAGAGAGAGAGAGAGGCAGAGACAUAGGCAGAGGGAGAAGCAGGCUCCAUGCACCAGGAGCCCGACGUGGGAUUCGAUCCCGGGUCUCCAGGAUGGUGCCCCGGGCCAAAGGCAGGCACCAAACUGCUGCGCCACCCAGGGAUCCCUCCCCAGCAAGUUACCAGGGUCCUGGGCUUUGCCCUAGGCUGGGUCCCAGGACUAGUGCUGGCUGACCCUGCAGGACAGGAAAUGAAGAACAAAAGGCAGCAUCUAAGGACAAGGGUAGUAAGACAACUAAUAGAGACUUCAACAAUUGAACACUAAGGCUUGUGUGUUCUGGAGGGUGGCAGGGAGCAGAGCUGGAGAAGGCCCGAGGCACUGGAGCAGAAGUAGAGCCUGGGGCUCGAGGAUACCCAUGGCUGGUGUCCUCUCCCCCGAGGGGAUCUUCACUGUUUGACAUCAUUGUCAUCCCCACUAUUGCUCUCUCUGGCUGCCUCAGUUUCCUCAACUGUAAUAUGAAGGUAGUAGAUCCUCUUUGUUCUUCAGGGGGUUAUUCCUACAAUGGAGGAGUCAUUACUCAUGGUUUCCAUGCAUUUUAAGAGAUAGGUAACAGUUCUGGUCUGUGUCCCUGGUCCUAGAACCGCAGCAGGAGCCCAGGAAGGAUGAGCUCAGGAACGGAGCUGUCUGGGAACAUCCCUGGACAUUAGCCUUGGCCAUGCUGCUGCAGGCCGCUGGGGGCUUAGUCACCCCACAGGCACAUCUGUGUGGGCCAAGGACCGGAAAGGCCAGAUGGGCCCUCGGCUGCCUUAUCUACCUGGAGCUGAGAAUGAGCUACGGCUAGUGAAGGCCGAAGCAGCCCUGGGCCGAGCCCAUGCUCACAGAGCCACGGCAGCGGGGCUGGCCCGUUGUCCAGCCUAUUGAUCAGGAAUCAGGAAGAGCAGGGCUGCGGCAGCCUGGUGCCUGCGAUGCAUGCCCUGGGAAGGGAGAGGCUGCAAACCUAUUGCUGUUGGAAACGGCUCAGAGAAUGUGUUCAGGUGAACUUCCAGCUUCCCGGCUGCGGCAGGCCAGUGAGCUGUCUCUUUUCCACACAGGAGGGGCUGAUCACGCACUUGGAAGGGGCAGCUUCUUCACCGUCUCAUUUGCUCGGAGCUACUGGAAUAGCAAGUGCCUUUUUUUGGCUGGUUAGACUGUUUCAAAUGAAUCCCAGCAGAAAACUGAAAAGCGAGUGCUGUCUGUCCCUCCUCCAGCCCUCUCCGUGCUGCAGAGCCUUCUGGCCUCAAGCAGAACAGCUGCCAGGCUCUGGGUACCACCUGCUGGCAGCUCUCCAGGCUUCUGUGGAUCUGUAGCCUCCCAGCCCCAUCCCUUAUCCACACUCCCAUCAAGUGUGGGCAAUUCAUUAAAGAUCUUUCUCCAAGGUUUCUUAGUGACUCUGGAGCAGGUCACCAGAGGGUCAUCUUAAACAGGCAGUUUUUGUUAGUCCUGAUUCCGACAUGACUUUCUCUAGCUGUCACCUGGAGAAGUGGGGAAGGGAUCAGGGAGUGCUGAAAUAGGGAGACCAAAUAAUUGUUGGGUGGAGGGAGGCACCCACGAAGAGGUCAGGGUGGGGGCGGGGCUUCCUACUGAUCAUUUUCUUGCUUAAUUUUGCCUUGUGUCUCUCAAAUCUGAAACACAGGACUGGCCAGUUCCUAGAAAGGCCGUUGUUGCUGUGAUGUAACUUACUGCUUCAAAGACUCUUGGUUCAAGUUCAGUUUGAGCAGAAUCCAGCUGCUCAUCUGUUUGCUCUUAAAAGUGUCAUUUCCAUCUUGAUAUUUUUCAGUUUGAAGGAAAUAAAUUCUGGGUACCGAAGGCAGAUAAACAAGGGUGGCUUGCGUACAACUGCCUUGGCUCAAGUUCUAGGACAUUAUGAUUCUGCCUAAUAAAACCCACGGGCUGUUUUCAGCUACUAAAAUAAGAUAUUUGUUUUCCAUUUAAUCUCCUAUAAAGAAAUUUAGACAUACAUCUUUAUUUCCUUCAGAAUUUGUAUAUGAAGUUUAAUUGUAUGGUGCCUGCCAUAUUUUCAAAAACUGCUCACUCUCAUUGUGUCUAGUUGUUGGAUUCCCCCAAGUGUAGAAAUAAAUAGGGUCAGAAUUAUUUGGCUUUGGCACACCAGCAGAGCAUAUACUCAGUGGUGUCAACAGCAAAAAAAAAUUUUUUUUAAAGUCAUAAUGGCUCUUUUGGCAAAUGGCAGUCUCUUGAGUGACCUAAUGACCCUGCUCUGCUGAUCUGAAACCACACACCAGAAAAUAAAUAGGGAAGAAUCUUGGCUUUGACACAUGAUACCUAAAGGACAAUGAUUAACUUUAAAAAUUCAAAAAACUUCCUGUCUUCUUUCUUCAAAAAUUGGGUUUUAUUUAUCUUCUAUCAGAGAGAGAAAGCGAGCAGGGGGGAGGGGCAGAGGAAGAGGGACAAGCAGGGAGCUCAGCAGGGAGCCCAACAUGGGGCUAGAACCAAGGACGGGCUGGAUCCCAGAGGCUGGAUCCCAGAGGCUGGAUCCCAGGACCCUGGGAUCAUGACCUGCGCCGAAGGCAGUUGCUUAACUGACUGAGCCACCCGGGUGCCCCUUCAAAAAUUUUUAAAAACAGUUUUGUAGUGAAAGUGCUCUCUGCAAUGAGGCUUUUCCUACAGAGGAUGGUAUCACUGAGCCUGCCCACUCAGGGCCUUUCUCUAGGGACUCCCACCUGAACUUAAGAGGGCUGGUCAGGUCUUCCCUGGGGAGCUCCUAGCAGGUGGUUCUCACCCUCCUCAGUGUGUGCACUGUUCAGACAUGAAAGGAAACAGGCAGCAGAGUGUGUGCUCACUGGGCAGUGUGUUCAUGAACUUGAAAUUUCAUUUGUUCAUAGGACAGUUAGUACUGAGUGUCUAAUUGUUGAGUGCCAGACACUUUCUAAGCACUAGAGUUUUAUAGUUUUAGGUCUUAGAUCCUUUUUGAGUUAAUUUUUGUAUAUGGUGUAAGGUAAGGGUCAUUCUUUUGCACGUGGAUAUCCACUUUUCCCAAUAUCAGUUCUUGAAAAGAUUGUUUUUUUUUUUUUUCUCAUGGAAUAGUCUUGGCACUCUUAUCAAAAGUCACUGGACAUAUUUGCAAGGGUUUAUAUCUGGGCUAUUUUAUUCCAUUGGUCUAUAUGUCUAUCUUUAUGCCAGUACUACACUGUUUUAAUUACUGUAGCUUUGUAAUAAGUUUUGAAAUCAGGAACUGUGAGACCUCCAACUUUGUUCUUCUUUUUCAAGAUUGUUUUGCCUAUUCAGGAUCCCUUGAGUUUGAAUUUUAGAAAGGAUGUUGUUAUUUCUGCAAAAAAUGUCACCGGGAUUUUUAAAAAUCAUUUAUUUAUUUAUUUAUUUAUUUAUUUAUUUAUUUAUUUAUUUAUUUAUUUAUUAUAGUCACAGAGAGAGAGAGAGAGAGAGAGAGAGAGAGAGAGAGAGAGAGGCAGAGACACAGGCAGAGGGAGAAGCAGGCUCCAUGCACCGGGAGCCCAACGUGGGAUUUGAUCCCGGGUCUCCAGGAUCGCACCCUGGGCCAAAGGCAGGCGCCAAACCGCUGUGCCACCCAGGGAUCCCGUCACCGGGAUUUUGAUGUCAAAUCUGUAGGUUGCUUCAGGUGGUAUUGACAUUUUAACAAUAUUAAGUUUUCCAACUAUGAACUGUCUUUUCACCCAUUUGUGUCUUUUUAAAUUUCCUUCAGUAAAAUUUUGUAGUUUUCAUUGUUAUACGUCUUUUACCUCUUUGGGUAAAUGUAUUCCUAAGUAUUUUAUUCUUAGGAUAAAUUGGAAAUUAAACUGUUUCCUUAAUUUCCUUUUUGAAUUAUUCAUUGUUAGUGUAUAGAAAUGUAACUGAUCUUUGAAUUUUGCUUUUAUAUCCUGCAGCUGCACUGAAUUCACUUACUAGUUCUAACACGGUAUGUGCAUGUAUGUGUGUUUGUGUGUACAUGUGUAUGGAAUCUUGAGGCUUUUUUAUAUAUAAUAUCAUAUCAUCUGUGGACAGAUGUUAAUUUUACUUCCUUCUUUACAAUCUGGAUACUUUUAUAUCUUUUUCUUGACUAAUUGCUAUGGUUAUGACUUCCAGCCCUAUGUUGAAUAUAAGUGGUGAAAAUGGUCAUCUUUGUUCUUGAUCUUAGAGGAAAUGCUUUUGAUUUUCCACUAUGGUGCUGUGAGCUUUUCAUAAAUUGCCUUCAUUAUGUUGAGGUAGUUUUGUUUUAUUUAUAUUUAUUUUUUUAAAUUUUUUUUGGUAGUUUUGUUUUAUUGAAUGUUCUUAUCAUGAAAGAGUGUUGAGUUUUGUUGAAGGCGUGUUUUGCAUCAAUAUAGAUAAUCACAUGUUUUUUUCCCCUUUAUUCUGUUAAUGUGUUAUAUGAUAUUAACUGAUUUUCAUAUGUUGAUCCAUUCUUGCAUCCCAGGGAUAAAUUCUACUGGGUUCCACUUGGUGAUUAUGUAUAAUCCUUUUAAUGUGCUAUUCAAUUCUGUUUGCUAGCAUUUUGUUGAAGGUUUUUGCAUCUAUAUUCAUCAGGAAUAUUGAUCUGUAGUUUCCUUGUUUAGUGUGCUUGACUUUCAUUGUCAGGGCGGUGCUAGCCUCAUAGAAUAAGUUUGGAACUGUUCUUUCCUCUUCAACUUUUUUGAGUUAAUUUGAGUUUAUAUAAAUUAACUUGAAAUAAUGUCUAUGUUCAGCAAUCAGUUUACAAAAUUCCUGAAAACUUAACAAUUCCUGCUCUUCUGAGCAGGGAUGAAGUAGAUCCAGUGCAUCUUUGAACAUGGUCAUGCCUGAGGUGCCCUAAAGUGCUUAUUUUUGUGUUAACCAAAGUCCUGUGUAGAAAAAGGAAAAGAAACCAAUUUUAAAUGAGAGAUGAGUGACUAAUCUCUUACUUGCUGAAUAAAAAGGUUUUUCCUAAGAGUUCAUAUGCCCAAUAAAAGACAUAUUCAGGAAUGUUUAUUGCAGUUAUAUUUAUAAUGAUUAAAAAAUGAAAACAACUCAAAUCUCCAUCUGCAGUAGAAUCGGUAGGUAGUAUUACACAAUGAAAUACUAACCCAACAGUGAACAUAAAUGAACUCCAGCUACAUGAGACAAUAUGGAUGGACCUUAUACACAUAAUUUUGAGUGAAAGGGGUAAUAUAUACAAAAAAUACACAUUCCAAUUAUAUGAAGUUCAAAAAUAGACAAAACUAAUCCAUGACGUUAGAAUCAGGAUAGUGGUUAUCUCUGGGGAGUUGUUGAUUGGGAGGGACAGUGCACGAGAGAGUUUCUGGUUUACCAGACAUGUUCUGUAUCUUGAUUCGGGUGGUGGUUAUAUGAGUGUGUACAUUUGGAAAAAUUUUGUGCUGUAUAUUUAAGAUUUAUGUGCUUCACUGAAAUCAUGUUAUACUUCAAAAUAAAAAGCUGACUGUCUUCCUUCUUUA